rnacentral:rRNA from 1 species
UACGAAGGGGGCUAGCGUUGCUCGGAAUCACUGGGCGUAAAGGGUGCGUAGGCGGGUCUUUAAGUCAGGGGUGAAAUCCUGGAGCCCAACUCCAGAACUGCCUUUGAUACUGAGGAUCUUGAGUUCGGGAGAGGUGAGUGGAACUGCGAGUGUAGAGGUGAAAUUCGUAGAUAUUCGCAAGAACACCAGUGGCGAAGGCGGCUCACUGGCCCGGUACUGACGCUGAGGUGCGAAAGCGUGGGGAGCAAACAGG